rnacentral:tRNA from 1 species
CAAUUAAUAGUUUAUAAAAAUAUCAAUUUUGGAAAUUGAAGAAAUAAAUUAUAUUUAUUUAAUUGA